AACGCUGGCGGCGUGCCUAAUACAUGCAAGUAGAACGCUGAAGAGAGGAGCUUGCUCUUCUUGGAUGAGUUGCGAACGGGUGAGUAACGCGUAGGUAACCUGCCUUGUAGCGGGGGAUAACUAUUGGAAACGAUAGCUAAUACCGCAUAACAAUGGGUGACACAUGUCAUUUAUUUGAAAGGGGCAAUUGCUCCACUACAAGAUGGACCUGCGUUGUAUUAGCUAGUAGGUGAGGUAACGGCUCACCUAGGCGACGAUACAUAGCCGACCUGAGAGGGUGAUCGGCCACACUGGGACUGAGACACGGCCCAGACUCCUACGGGAGGCAGCAGUAGGGAAUCUUCGGCAAUGGGGGCAACCCUGACCGAGCAACGCCGCGUGAGUGAAGUAGGUUUUCGGAUCGUAAAGCUCUGUUGUAAGUCAAGAACGAGUGUGAGAGUGGAAAGUUCACACUGUGACGGUAGCUUACCAGAAAGGGACGGCUAACUACGUGCCAGCAGCCGCGGUAAUACGCAGGUCCCGAGCGUUGUCCGGAUUUAUUGGGCGUAAAGCGAGCGCAGGCGGUUUGAUAAGUCUGAAGUUAAAGGCUGUGGCUCAACCAUAGUUCGCUUUGGAAACUGUCAAACUUGAGUGCAGAAGGGGAGAGUGGAAUUCCAUGUGUAGCGGUGAAAUGCGUAGAUUUAUGGAGGAACACCGGUGGCGAAAGCGGCUCUCUGGUCUGUAACUGACGCUGAGGCUCGAAAGCGUGGGGAGCGAACAGGAUUGGAUACCCUGGUAGUCCACGCCGUAAACGAUGAGUGCUAGGUGUUGGAUCCUUUCCGGGAUUCAGUGCCGCAGCUAACGCAUUAAGCACUCCGCCUGGGAGUACGA
rnacentral:rRNA from 1 species